CUGGCCAGAAACUAGCCAAACAUCUGGCGAUCAUGCAAGAGGUAAAUAUGUGUAUACACCAAGCAGCAACCUCUGGGGCUGAAGGAUGAAGCCAACUCGGAAGUGCAAGAAACUGCAGUUCCUCGGGUGGCCACUAGAGGCAGGCUCCAAUAGAGAGUCAGUCCCCAUAGACCUUCAUGUUAAAAUGGCCAACUUUACAGCAGAAAUAAACAUGUUUAUCGCCUGGUACAAAAAACUGUUUUGGUCUCUGGAUUUUUUUAAGAACUCAUAAUAUAAGCCUUAUAAUAAGGCUUAAGAGUGACAGGUGGAGGAUGCCGGUGCCGUCAACGCCAACUGUCUGCUAGCCGCCCAUCACCUCAGCUAGUCACCUAACUUGACCUCUCGACCGUGUUUGUGCCUUUUGGAGAUUUUUUCAUGAAUAUAUCUGAAGAAUAAAAUGGCUUGCUGUGCGGUUAAUUGUACCGUCAGACCGGCCAAGAAGUCUGUGGUCCAGUUUUUUCAACCACAAGUGAUGUCACCCUUAAAGGCCAGCAGGAACUUUGCAUCCAGGAUGAUGGGCCUCUCAUUCGGGGGUAUAUGGACAAAGGAGAUGACAUCUUGAGAGACCUGCAGAAAGCCACCAUGGACAUACCUGUCAGCAACGAGGGUGGAGAAACUGGAAAAUGUGAGUCCUAUUUAUGUUGAAUGAUUUAUGAAUCAUUCUGGACAACACUGGAUCCGUGCAAUGAUGCUGGGAGUCAUUUGUGCACUGAACAUGGCUUACCCCAAAGAGCUGAGGUACUACUAUGAAUUCAUUCAGAAAGGGCUCUUGCAAAUGGGGGGGUGAAAGGCUUUCCCCAAAACUCCUUUGAGUAAAGAACAGAAAUCGGUGCUGGACUGUAGGGUUUCUUCAGCAGCUCUUGCGAACCCCUUUUAAGCUGCAUCGUUUGUGUUUGGGGGUGAUCGAGCAUUUACUACAGUGGGGGAAAAAAGUA